GAGUUUGAUCCUGGCUCAGGACGAACGCUGGCGGCGCGCCUAACACAUGCAAGUCGAACGGAGCUUAGAGAGCUUGCUUUUUAAGCUUAGUGGCGAACGGGUGAGUAACGCGUGAGUAACCUGCCCUAGAGUGGGGGACAACAGUUGGAAACGACUGCUAAUACCGCAUAAGCCCACGGUACCGCAUGGUACUGAGGGAAAAGGAUUUAUUCGCUCUAGGAUGGACUCGCGUCCAAUUAGCUAGUUGGUGAGGUAACGGCCCACCAAGGCGACGAUUGGUAGCCGGACUGAGAGGUUGAACGGCCACAUUGGGACUGAGACACGGCCCAGACUCCUACGGGAGGCAGCAGUGGGGAAUAUUGCACAAUGGGGGAAACCCUGAUGCAGCGACGCCGCGUGAAGGAAGAAGUAUCUCGGUAUGUAAACUUCUAUCAGCAGGGAAGAUAAUGACGGUACCUGACUAAGAAGCCCCGGCUAACUACGUGCCAGCAGCCGCGGUAAUAC
rnacentral:rRNA from 1 species